CUAGCAGUAUCAGUAGUUUGUAGUCCUGGCUCAGGACGAACGCUGGCGGCGUGCUUAACACAUGCAAGUCGAACGAUGAAGCCCAGCUUGCUGGGUGGAAGAGUGGCGAACGGGUGAGUAACACGUGAGUAACCUGCCCCUGACUCUGGGAUAAGCGCUGGAAACGGCGUCUAAUACUGGAUAUGAGCAAUGGCCGCAUGGUCUGUUGUUGGAAAGAUUUAUCGGUUGGGGAUGGACUCGCGGCCUAUCAGCUUGAUGGUGAGGUAAUGGCUCACCAUGGCGACGACGGGUAGCCGGCCUGAGAGGGUGACCGGCCACACUGGGACUGAGACACGGCCCAG
rnacentral:rRNA from 1 species